rnacentral:rRNA from 1 species
AACGAACGCUGGCGGCGUGCCUCAUACAUGCAAGUCGUACGCGAAUCCUGCCGCAAGGCAGGGUUUGAGUGACAAACGGGUGCGUAACACGUAGGUAAUCUUCCUUUGAGUUGGGGAUAAACCCUCGAAAGGGGUCUAAUACCGAAUAACACUUCUGGUUGGCAUCAACCGGAAAUUAAAGGUGGCCUCUGCUUGCAAGCUAUCGCUCGGAGAUGAGCCUGCGGCCGA